CCCUUAGAUGUUCUAGGCCGCACGCGCGCUACACUGACGAAGUCAGCGAGCAUCUCCUACGCCGAAAGGUGCGGGGAAUCUUGUGAAACUUUGUCGUGCUGGGGAUUGAUUUUUGAAAUUCUUGAUCAUCAACGAGGAAUUCCUAGUAAGCGCAAGUCAGCAGCUUGCGUUGAUUACGUCCCUGCCCUUUGUACACACCGCCCGUCGCUACUACCGAUUGAAUGGUUUAGUGAGAUUUUUGGACUGGAACUCUCUUGUUCAGCAAUGAACGAGAGGGACUCUGGGAAGCUAUUCUAACUGUAUCAUUUAGAGGAAGUAAAAGUCGUAACA
rnacentral:rRNA from 1 species